rnacentral:rRNA from 1 species
CAGCAGCAGCCGCGGGAAUACGAAGGUCCCAAGCGUUGUUCGGAAUCACUGGGCGUAAAGGGAGCGUAGGCGGCGUGGUAAGUCAGAUGUGAAAUCCCGGGGCUCAACCCCGGAACUGCAUCCGAUACUGCCAUGCUUGAGGGUUGGAGAGGUAGCUGGAAUUCUUGGUGUAGCAGUGAAAUGCGUGGAUAUCAAGAGGAACACUCGUGGCGAAGGCGAGCUACUGGACAACAUCUGACGCUGAGGCUCGAAGGCCAGGGUAGCGAAAGGGAUUAGAUACCCCCGUAGUCCCUGUCUCUUAUAC